ACCGCCUGCCCUGUGGAACCCUAAACGGCCGCGGCAUUAAAACCGUGCAAAGGUAGCACAAUCACUUGUCCCCUAAAUGAGGACGCGUAUGAAAGGCAACAUGAGAGAAGACCUGUCUCCUAAGGACUGCCAAUGAAAUUGAACUGCCAGUUCAAAAGCUGGUAUUUUUAAGCAAGACAAAAAGACCCUGUGGAACUUUAAUGAACUGUCUUAAAAAAAAGACAGUAAUUUCAGUUGGGACAACUUUAGAAAAAACAAACUUCCUAAUCUACCAAGACUAACAAGUCAAAACCUACUAUAUGACCCAGUAGUACUGAUUAACGAAAUAAGCUACCCCAGGGAUAACAGCGCCACCUUCUCAAAGAGUCCAUAUCAACAAGAAGACCUACGACCUCGAUGUUGGAUCAGGGUACCCAGACGGUGCAACAGCUGUCAACGGUUCGUUUGUUCAACGAUUAAUACCCU
rnacentral:rRNA from 1 species